rnacentral:other from 1 species
GUUCACUGCCGUACAGACAGCUUAGAAA